GUUAUGGCGACCUCCAGCUGGACAUGUGCGGAGCCGGAACAGAAAUACCAUUUCUGAUAAAACCAUAUUCAUCGAUAGCUGUCAGUAUCCUUUAGUAUCUGAUCACUACUUUUGAGAUAACAUGGCUGAUUCUGAAGAACAGAACUUUCCACGUGGAAUUCUGAAAAAGAAAGCUACUGAAAAUGUGUCGGUCGCAUUGAAAGAUACCAAAGUGAAAUUGAAAGAAAAACAUCAAGAUGAUUUAUUUAAAAGUACUGCAGUCAGGGGCAAGAAGAGACGGAUAAAAGAUGAUAAAAAAAGUGACGAUGGAGGAAAGAAAAAGAGAAAGAAAACUGACAGUAGCAUC